AAGUCGUAACAAGGUUUCCGUAGGUGAACCUGCGGAAGGAUCAUUAACGAGUAACUGAACAGGUUGUAGCUGGCCUCUCGGGGCAUGUGCACACCUGGCUCAUCCACUCUUCAACCACUGUGCACUUAUUGUAGGUCGGCAGAAGGGCGAGUCUAACAGCUCGCUCGGAAGCCUUCCUAUGUUUUAUUACAAACGCUUCAGUUUAAGAAUGUAAACCUGCGUAUAACGCAACUAUAUACAACUUUCAGCAACGGAUCUCUAGGCUCUU
rnacentral:misc_RNA from 1 species